UAUAAACUCCUUCCGUCCGGAAAUACUAGUCAUCAAAAUGGAUAAAAAUGCGUGUAUCUAGAACUAAAAUACAUCUAGAUACGUCCCCUUUUAUUCAUCUUGACGACAAGUAUUUCCGGACGGAGGGAGUAUUAC
rfam:Triticum aestivum genome assembly, contig: Triticum_aestivum_CS42_TGACv1_scaffold_271455_3DS